CCGGUUGGUACUCUCCACUUCAACACGGUCUGCGUCUGCGUGUCAAUGGAUAAACUUUUUAAACUAUCAAGGGAACAGAUAUCAGCUGUGUCGUGCUCCGGAGGUUAUCUCAAAACCUCACGAUGGUCCAGCCGGUCAGCCAGCUCCACUGCGGGAGGGAAAUGCUGAUGAUGAGCGAGGUGACCAUGAGACCGGACACCCUUCAGUACAGUGAUGCCUGAAGUCCAGGCAUUGACAGACCACACUGAUACCUCGGAGAAUAACCUUUUUUUACACAAGGCAACACAGUACUGCAGUGAAGAUCCCUUAGCCCUUACCAUCCUCAAGAAUGGCACUAGCUCUUUAUUGUACACUGUUAAAUUCAACACUUUCAAUUUUAAGAUGCACGUAAUGGAAUCAAAUUCUGAUGACCAUGAUGUAGCUGAAGUUGAAUUUUCUUCAAGGAGAUC